GGGUCCUACGGGGGGCAGCAGUGAGGAAUAUUGGUCAAUGGUCGGGAGACUGAACCAGCCAAGCCGCGUGAGGGAUGAAGGUACGGAGUAUCGUAAACCUCUUUUGUCAGGGAACAAAGGCGGGGACGUGUCCCCGGAUGAGUGUACCUGAAGAAAAAGCAUCGGCUAACUCCGUGCCAGCAGCCGCGGUAAUACGGAGGAUGCGAGCGUUAUCCGGAUUUACUGGGUGUAAAGGGAGCAUAGACGGCAGUGCAAGUCUGAAGUGAAAGCCCCGGGCUUAACCCGGGAACUGCUUUGGAAACUGU
rnacentral:rRNA from 1 species